UAUAAAGUGGCGAACGGCUGAGUAACACGUGGGCAACCUGCCCCUUUCAUUGGGAUAGCCACGGGAAACCGUGGAUAAUACCGAAUACUUCGAGACUUCCGCAUGGAAGACUCGAGAAAGCUCCGGCGGAGAGGGAUGGGCCCGCGGCCUGUUAGCUUGUUGGUGGGGUAACGGCCUACCAAGGCAAUGAUGGGUAGCUGGGUUGAGAGACCGACCAGCCAGAUUGGGACUGAGACACGGCCCAG
rnacentral:rRNA from 1 species